rnacentral:rRNA from 1 species
ACGGCCCAGACUCCUACGGGAGGCAGCAGUGGGGAAUAUUGCACAAUGGGCGCAAGCCUGAUGCAGCGACGCCGCGUGAGGGAUGAAGGCCUUCGGGUUGUAAACCUCUUUCAGCAGGGAAGAAGCGCAAGUGACGGUACCUGCAGAAGAAGCGCCGGCUAACUACGUGCCAGCAGCCGCGGUAAUACGUAGGGCGCAAGCGUUGUCCGGAAUUAUUGGGCGUAAAGAGCUCGUAGGCGGUCUGUCGCGUCUGCUGUGAAAACUCGAGGCUCAACCUCGGGCUUGCAGUGGGUACGGGCAGACUAGAGUGCGGUAGGGGAGACUGGAAUUCCUGGUGUAGCGGUGGAAUGCGCAGAUAUCAGGAGGAACACCGAUGGCGAAGGCAGGUCUCUGGGCCGCAACUGACGCUGAGGAGCGAAAGCAUGGGGAGCGAACAGGAUUAGAUACCCUGGUAGUCCAUGCCGUAAACGUUGGGCACUAGGUGUGGGGCUCAUUCCACGAGUUCCGUGCCGCAGCAAACGCAUUAAGUGCCCCGCCUGGGGAGUACGGCCGCAAGGCUAAAACUCAAAGAAAUUGACGGGGGCCCGCACAAGCGGCGGAGCAUGCGGAUUAAUUCGAUGCAACGCGAAGAACCUUACCAAGGCUUGACAUACACCGGAAACUUCCAGAGAUGGUUGCCCCGCAAGGUCGGUGUACAGGUGGUGCAUGGUUGUCGUCAGCUCGUGUCGUGAGAUGUUGGGUUAAGUCCCGCAACGAGCGCAACCCUCGUCCUAUGUUGCCAGCGGGUCAUGCCGGGGACUCAUAGGAGACUGCCGGGGUCAACUCGGAGGAAGGUGGGGAUGACGUCAAAUCAUCAUGCCCCUUAUGUCUUGGGCUUCACGCAUGCUACAAUGGCCGGUACAAAGGGCUGCGAUACCGCGAGGUGGAGCGAAUCCCAAAAAGCCGGUCUCAGUUCGGAUUGGGGUCUGCAACUCGACCCCAUGAAGUCGGAGUCGCUAGUAAUCGCAGAUCAGCAACGCUGCGGUGAAUACGUUCCCGGGCCUUGUACACACCGCCCGUCAAGUCACGAAAGUCGGUAACACCCGAAGCCGGUGGCCCAACUGUUCGCAGGGGGAGCCGUCGAAGGUGGGACUGGCGAUGGGACUAAGUCG